rnacentral:lncRNA from 1 species
GCAAGCAGAAACCACAAGACUGCUUCUCAGAGACACUGCAGAAGGGAUUCAUAUUUUGGCUAUAAGAAAAUCUUGAAAGAAAUAUAUUACCUACGUCUUUCAAACACUAGAGGAUUGCAUCAUUAAUUCUGCCCAAAGAUCCGCUACCCAGCAGCAGUAGAGAAAAAUUGAAUUCCUUUGGCAAGGGUGAAGAAGCCAUUCUGAAAUGCCUACAGCAGCCUACAAGGUCAAGCCGCAGUGCUGAUGAAUAUUGGUUAGAGUACUGAUUGAUGCUUCACACCUGGAUUUCUUCAAUGCCACCUCAAUGUGACUGUAGAACCCCAUAAUAGCCAAAGCCAAUACUAGGAGUUGACCCGUGAAAGGAAAGUCCCCAUGAAAACUGCUGUCCUCCUCUCUUCAGAUGGGGACAGUUUUUCUUUGAUUGAAACGAAAUUCUGACCUCAGUUCCCCUGAGUAGCAUUUGUGUCACUUAACUAUUGAUUCGGCAUGGAUUAUUAAUAUUCUUUAAAAAUUGUUUAAUAGUUUCUUGAAAUUCCUUAAUUGAAAUCUCUAUAUUCUUUCAAAACUUUGAUGAAGUUAUACUCUUGACAAUAGCAAAUUGUGAUUGUACUUUAACAACUUUCUCCCCUUGUUCAUGAAGCAAAAUCAUGGUGCAAUUAUUUCUUUUUUCCUACAAGGAAAACCCAUCAACAUUAUAAUUUAAAUUAAUAGUUUAUUGGCUCUUAUCUACAAUGUAUGUAUCAGAUUUUAAGUGACAAUGUACAAUUUCCCUGAAUAAAAUAUAUAAGAGGUAUUGCCUGAGAUUGAGAACUCACACUCUGAAUCUGAUAAUGUGCUUGUUACCACAGUUUGCCCCCCAGAUGAGCUCUCCACCCGUGUCCACCCUGCUCUGUGCCCCAGGAAGCUGACCAUACAGACCACAUCAGUGAAUUUCAGGGUCCUCUGUCUUCCAGUUGGGCUCACUAGUGGGGAAUUCCAGCAGGAGAGAAGAAGGAGAGAGCAGAGUGAAACUGGGGUGUAUAUUCCCCUGCCUCCUUUCCCACAGGCUCUUUCCAGGCUGACUUUGACUCUCUGAUGAAAGCCACAGAAGGUGGCUUCUCUGCACAACUCUCCCCUUCCAGAUUCUGGUUAUAACUGCCUUUCCUUUUCCCUUCAGGAGCAAGUGGGGGUAACAACUCUGCAGUCACUAUCUGAAAAUGCCCUGCUGUUGUUUUUGUUUUUUCUACCCAAUGCCCUGGUCUUAGUGAAUAGUAUCUUUCUCAAACCAUCCUGGAAUUAUCCUAGUUUGAGUGAACCUUUAUUUUUUCUUUUGCUGGAGCCUGAUCUUGUCAGAUACUUGGGUGGAAAUAUGUCAGAUACUUAAUGGAAAUGUAUAAUUCUAUUUCGAAGAACCUGCUUUUGGAUUUAUUUAGCCUUUUAAUCAUUUUUGUUUCUAUUUCAUUAAGUUCAGGUCUUACAUUAAUUAAUUUCCCUCUUCCAAAUUUCUUUUGGCUUAUUUUGUUGCUCAUUUUCAAAUUCAUUAAGGCACUUCAUGGUGAUCGUCUCUUACCCUGCUCUCUUCAUCAGACACGGCUGCAAAUGAGAAGUCUUCCUUAUGUUCACUUGGCUGAGAAACUGUGGGAAGAUAGAGAGCAAAGAGACUUCUUCCAGGAACUGCUGAAGGGUGCAUACAUCCUGCCUGUAGUCCAUAGGCUAUUGGAUCAGAACAUUACAGCAGGAUUCCCACCAGUCCCACCAAUAUUUUGACAGCUGACCUGAGCUCCAGUGCUGGCAGGGAAAAAUAACUGCCCAUCCUUGGAGCCUCACAGCCUAAAAGAAAAGGAUGAGCCCAACAAUUUGAAGACACACUGUGAGAUAGAACUGCUGCAUAAGACAGAUGAUCACCUGAAUAAAAAUUCAUCGUGAAUGCUUAAGGAGAUUCAAACACAAUACCAACAAUACAAAAAAAGACUUUCUUGAGAUUAAAAUUAUUAUUUUCAAACUAAGACAAAUCAGUAGAUAAUAAAUAAAGGGGAGUUUGACCACUGGAUGACCAGAUCAGUAGCCAGAAAUAUCUUAAAGCACAAGAAUGGAAGAAGUAGAAGUCCUGUGGGAAAAGGUGAAAGAGUCACAGAAGAUCUAGCAAGCAAAUACUGGAAGAAAAAAAUGGAAGAGACACAUGAAAAAGUAAUAUCCCAGGGCUGAAAGAAGAUCUGAAUCUACACGCUGAGAUCCAAUCAGUCUUCAUGAAAAAGAUGCACAUCUAGGCAUAUCCUGAUGGAUAAGAAAAAUAUCUUAAAUGCUCCUAGAUAGGAAGAGCAAGUUUACCCAUCAAUGGACAUUUCACUUUCAACCUGUGAAUAGAAAGUUAAAGUGCCGUCAAUGCUGAGAACAAACAGGGUCCCAUCCCAGAUAAUCCUUAAAGUUGUUCCUCCCGUGGUGGUUAGACAAUAUAUUCAACAGAAGGACACCCACUCUGCAGCACAACUGUCCUGUUUCCUCAACAAGUCAGUGUCCCGAGGAAAAGGGCCUGUGCUAGAGGAAGACACUUAAAGGGGCGUAACUACCAGAUGCAAAAUGUGGCUGUGACUCAAAUGCUGUUUUGUACAAACCAGCAGCAAAGGUCAUUCUGGAAUCAACUGCAGAAAUUUAAAUAAGGUUUGGGUAUCUCAUGAGAUGAAAAUUUACUGAAAUAGUAAAAUGGAGAUGGCUCAUUGGAAAAAGCAGGCUACGAAACAACAAAUCACACAAAUACACACACAUAUACACUAUUUAAAAUAAGUAUGUAUACACACACAUAACAAAAAAUAGGUAUACAUACACAUAAAAGAUAAAUAUAUGAAAAACUGUAUAUAUAUAACAUAUAUAUAAUCUGCAAGAACAUGCCUUAGAGUUUAAAAUGGUGAUGCAUUGUGUCAAUAUGAUAUUUUUCAUUUUAUUUUCUAAUUUUCAAUAAUUAAAAAUACGGCCACCAUAAAAUGUAUACCUAUUUAUGUGUGUGUGUGUGUAUAUAUACAUGAAAAUUUCCUUCUCCUUCUUCUUCCGUAUAUAUAGAAAAAGGGAAGGAAGAAGAGGAGGAAGAUGAGCAGUGAUAGAAGGGGUGAGGAUGGGAGGAGGAGAGGAGGGGAGAAAAAGGAGGAGUAGGAAGGGCAAUCCUGAAAGGAACUUCCAAGAGGAAGCAGGGUGGAGCUUCAAGAACGAAGGACGACAAUGCUGCAGCAUCGUUGUGGUGUGUCUGGCACAGCACAGGUUCAGAUGCAGAAUGUGGGAGAGUCUUGCCUGUUGUGAAUUAUCGCAAAAUACCACGGGAGGAAAAUGUCACCCUAAACCAGUUGUGUUUAGCUUCCACACAUCAAAAUAUGGCAUAACAGGUUUCAGAAAGAACUAGGUUCAAUUCUGAAAAAGAAUACCAAAACCUGGAUUAGUUAUGGAUGGCUCCAAAUUAUAGUGCCUGUUUAUGCACAUGCUAGUGAAAUAACGAGUUUUAUGACAGCUGCCUCUCUUAUAAAAAUAUUAAAAUUACAAAAACAGGACUUUGUUUUGUGAUAUCCACGUUCUCAGUAGUUUUAAAUGUCGUUAAUUUAGAUUUCACAAUUUUGAACUAUGUAAAAGUGUAAUCUGGCAAAAAAUAUUUACGUAAAAUUGUUCAUGAAAAAGAGACUUCUGGACAAAUUCAUCUUGAAAAUAAAAUUGCAUGAAGCAUGUUUACUUCUCAUAAAUUGCAUACUCUUUUACUAAAGAACUUAUAGUAUUCUGUAUAAAUUGAAGAUGCUGAAUUCAAUUACACCUUAGUUUAUGUCAUCAGCAGCUCAUCAAGCUCUUUGGUGUUUUUUUCCUGACUUUUCCUGACUGAGCCAAGGUGACAAAAUAGGUUUAGUUCUGCAACUAAUCCUCCC